GACGAACGCUGGCGGGAUGCUUUACACAUGCAAGUCGAACGAGUGGCGGACGGGUGAGUAAUAUAUCGGAACGUGCCCAGUAGAGGGGGAUAACUACUCGAAAGAGUGGCUACUACCGCAUAAUAUUGUAGCGGCCGAUAUCGGAGUAGCUAGUUGGUGGGGUAAAGGCUCACCAAGGCGACGAUCCGUAGCUGGUCUGAGAGGACGACCAGCCACACUGGGACUGAGACACGGCCCAGACUCCUACGGGAGGCAGCAGUGGGGAAUUUUGGGCAAUGGAGGAAACCCUGAUCCAGCCAUCCCGCGUGUAUGAGAAGGCCUUCGGGUUGUAAAGUACUUUUGUCAGAGAAGCGGUAUCUGCCGAAUAAGCACCGGCUAACUACGUGCCAGCCGCCGCGGUAAUUC
rnacentral:rRNA from 1 species